AUGUCCUCUUGGGAGUUUAGGAGGUCAGGCCUGCCCAGUGAAAUUUUUAACGGCCGCGGUAUAUUGACCGUGCAAAGGUAGCAUAAUCAUUAGUCUUUUAAUAGAAGGCUGGAAUGAAAGGUUUAACGAGAAAUUAGCUGUCUCAUCUUUAUUUUAAAAUUUAACUUUUUAGUUAAAAGGCUUAAAUGUUGUUGUAGGACGAGAAGACCCUAUAGAGCUUUACAAUUUUAUUAAUUAAAUUUUCAAGUUUAAUAAAUAUUAUUAAUUUUUGGAUUUGUUUUGUUGGGGUGACAAAAAUAUAUAUAUAACUUUUAUUAUAAUGUUUACAUUAAUUUAUGAAAAUUGGACCCAUUUUAGAUGAUCAGUAGUUCAAGUUACCUUAGGGAUAACAGCGUAAUCUUCUUUGAGAGUUCAAAUUUACAAGAAGGCUUGCGACCUCGAUGUUGGAUUAAGAUUAUAAUUAGGUGCAGUAGCUUAAUUAAUAGGUCUGUUCGACCUUUAAAUUCUU
rnacentral:rRNA from 1 species